UACAGGGGGUGCAAACGUUGCUCGGAAUUAUUGGGCGUAAAGCGUGCGCAGGCGGUUCGGAAAGAAAGAUGUGAAAUCCCAGAGCUUAACUUUGGAACUGCAUUUUUAACUACCGAGCUAGAGUGUGUCAGAGGGAGGCGGAAUUCCGCGUGUAGCAGUGAAAUGCGUAGAUAUGCGGAGGAACACCGAUGGCGAAGGCAGCCUCCUGGGAUAACACUGACGCUCAUGCACGAAAGCGUGGGGAGCAAACAGG
rnacentral:rRNA from 1 species